UCCCUGGUGGCUCAGACGGUAAAGCAUCUGCCUACAAUCCGGGAGACCCAGGUUCGAUCCCUGGGUAGGGAA
rnacentral:tRNA from 1 species